rnacentral:rRNA from 1 species
GAUGAACGCUGGCGGCGUGCCUAAUACAUGCAAGUCGAGCGAACGGACGAGAAGCUUGCUUCUCUGCUGUUAGCGGCGGACGGGUGAGUAACACGUGGAUAACCUACCUAUAAGACUGGGAUAACUUCGUGAAACCGGAGCUAAUACCGGAUGAUAUUUUGAACCGCAUGGUUCAAAAGUGAAAGACGGUCUUGCUGUCACUUAUAGCUGGAUCCGCGUUGCAUUAGCUAGUUGGUAAGGUAACGGCUUACCAAGGCAACGAUGCAUAGCCGACCUGAGAGGGUGAUCGGCCACACUGGAACUGAGACACGGUCCAGACUCCUACGGGAGGCAGCAGUAGGGAAUCUUCCGCAAUGGGCGAAAGCCUGACGGAGCAACGCCGCGUGAGUGAUGAAGGUCUUCGGAUCGUAAAACUCUGUUAUUAGGGAAGAACAUAUGUGUAAGUAACUGUGCACAUCUUGACGGUACCUAAUCAGAAAGCCACGGCUAACUACGUG